rfam:Schistosoma mansoni, Puerto Rico, WGS project CABG01000000 data, contig: 0126
UGGCUUUUUAGUUUGUGCUGGGAUUUCGUCGGACACCAACCCAACAGGAUUGAUGAGACUUCCAAGAUAAGUGAAUCA